rnacentral:rRNA from 1 species
UACGUAGGUGGCGAGCGUUGUCCGGAAUUACUGGGUGUAAAGGGCGUGUAGGCGGGGAAGCAAGUCAGAUGUGAAAUCCCGGGGCUCAACUCCGGAGUUGCAUCUGAAACUGUUUUUCUUGAGUGCUGGAGAGGAAAGCGGAAUUCCUAGUGUAGCGGUGAAAUGCGUAGAUAUUAGGAGGAACACCAGUGGCGAAGGCGGCUUUCUGGACAGUAACUGACGCUGAGGCUCGAAAGCGUGGGGAGCAAACAGGAUUAGAUACCCGCGUAGU